rnacentral:rRNA from 1 species
ACAAUGGAGAGUUUGAUCCUGGCUCAGGAUAAACGCUAGCGGCAGGCCUAACACAUGCAAGUCGAGGGGGAUUAUUAAGAUAGCUUGCUAUUUUGAUAUGAGACCGGCGCACGGGUGCGUAACGCGUAUGCAACCUACCUUUAACAGGGGGAUAACUCUGAGA